GCCAUGUGUUAUGCUUGUGGGUGGUCUUAAGAUCUUAAAGAAAAGCUUUGCUCUGUGAAGUCAUGCAGCACUGUAUGUAAUUAAGAGGCUUCCCCCCCCCCCCCCUUCCCCUCCAAACUCCUCUAUCUCUCCUGAUGUUGUUGUUGCGAAUGAUCUACACUUUGUGGAUGAGCUCCCUUUCAGUGCAUGUUAACCUGGGAAGGCUGUUUCUAGUACCUGAGCUUGAUCACAGAGAGUUCUCAGCUAUUUCUCUGCACAGAACUGCUGUGCCUCAGCCGUGACUCCACACCCGUCUCUGCAGCAUCUUUCAGAGCAGCCCGAUGGUUGUCUUCAUCUUCCUUCAAAAAAUCUUCUGAGACUUCACUUCAAAGACUCACGUACGUGGCAGAUUCAAUGACAGGUUCUCUGCUUUCAUGCCACAGCUUCUGAUUUUGCUCAGCAAUUCCCUAGCUUCUACAAGGCCAGCAGUGAGUCCCAUCAGUGGUACAGCUGUAGGUGCCACCAGCCCUGGUGACAAUGCCUCCACAAGACAACAGCUGCCAGCACAAGGGGCUGUAAACUCCUCCAAGAGCAUUUGAUUGCCAUCCUUCUGGCACUCACAAUUAUGGCCCAAAAAGGCAUUUAUGCCUCACUGGUCAAAGUAUAUAGUUUUCUCUUUGCUAUUCACCACUGCAGAUGGCAUGAAAAAGAUACCUUGGGUUGUUGCUUGCGAAGAUCAAGAAAAGCAAUUGCCAAAGGUCAGCAGCAUAUCACUUCUGGUGGGACUUCUGCAAGAAGAUGUGGCCGCAGAGAAAGGAAAAGAAAUAAAUGGAGAAUUUUCACAGAGGAGGCAUAGAUGGAGUCACACAUACAUGAAUACAUAUGUGCUAAUGCAGAAAAAGAUGGGCUGUAGAGUAACCUCUUCUCUUUCACCCAGGUAAAGCAAAACAACAGCGGCAAAUGUUGUGCGGAGCAUUCAUUUUCUGUCCAAAUGGUUUCGAUUCAGCAUUAUUUCAUCAAAAACCUGCAGCGUUCCUGAUGCGUAACCUGGGAAGCCCUUUGAAGACAAGACGUUUGGCCACUAGCAAGUAUCUCUCCUUUGCUGCUCUUUCAGAAAAAGGCAUCAAGGUGUGGAGCAAUCUUUGUCAGUGAUGGUGUGUACAGUGUGUGACUGCACAGGAACCGACUCCUCAGGCUUCCUGAAGGAACUGGAAUUAAAUUAGACUCUUCUCAGCCGGACCAGUUCUUUCACCCAGUUCAAGAUACAACUAUGGGCACAUCACAGAAAAAGUUGUAUGGAUGUGGAGACAAACAGCAGAAGUCAGGAUGCCUCACAUUGGCUGUCACGGCUGACAAAAUCUGGAAGAAAAAGGAUCGGAGGAAGCAGUGGAAGGGACAGGGCACAAGAAAGAAAAGGAAAGAAACGCGGACGCUCGCACACAACUUCUUACAAUGGCUCCAGCAUGCCCUUCCAUUGGCAGGAAUCCUUUUGAUCAAAUCCUUGCCCUGGGCUGGAAGUGUUUUAAUGAGCAUACAGACAUCAUCUUUUUUUCCUAGGUCUAUUUUGUGUUCUUAAGGAUAGAUAAGUAAAGCGUGCACUUAAAUGAUCCUGUGAGUGCUUCUUAACUGUGCUCUAGAGGAAAGGCGUAGUGCUUGAAUGUGGAGGCUGAACAGCGCCAGCCUGAAGGACAAGGAAAAUAGCAGAGGAGGAAACUUGAGCUGAACUGAACUUGUUUUCUUUAACAUCUUAUUUUCUUUUGGAGAAGGAAUAAGCAGCAUGAAACACCUAGACAUCUGUUGGAUGAGGGGUGUUUUAUGGAGACUCCCAUGUCUUGCUGCUUUUCCCCAUAGAAUAUUCUGAAUUGAUAGGGACCCACAAGUAUCGUAGACUCAUAGAAUGGUUGAGUUGGAAGGGACCUUAAUGAUCAGUGAGCUCCAACUACCCUGCUGCAGGCUGGGUGCUCCCCACCAGCUCAGGCUGCCUAGAGCCCCAUUCGUGGCCUUGGGCACCUCCAGGGAUGGAGCACCCCCACUCUCUGGGCAGCAGAUGUAAGAAUUCUCAGAGGUGCAGUGGGAUUUCUGUCUUUGCAUGCUGGUAGGUGCCAGCCUGUGAGAGGCCCAGGGCUGAAGGAUGUAGAAGCACUGCCCACCAGUCCCUGCUCUCUCCACCAAAUGUGGGGCAGGUGUAGGACCCCAAAGGAGCUAUCCUUUAGUAGCAGCCCAAAUGUUGCUGAUUUGUGGAAAUGAGCCUGGGCUGCCAACCUGGCUCUUCUAGGAGCCCUGAAAGACUUUAAAUAUUAAAAAAUAAAGGUUGUACUUGAUAAAAGGCAAAUGUUUAGUUUGACACAUCUCAUUAUUCUAAGGAAUUUGCAGGAAAAGACAAACUUUGUUAGCCUGCCACAAAGUGCUAACAGUUUCUGGAAGUCAAUAAAGUGACCUGCUUGCCUUGGAAGGAAACAGUUAGCAGACUUCCAAUUUCCCAGCUAAGUUAUGAAGACGGGAUGCAGGAUGACGGAAGCCAAGAUGUCAAUGCAGAAGACACAGAGCCUUCCCCAGACCAGGAUGGCUAGAGUUGAAAGAACAUCAUGCCCUGACAGCAGCUGCCAAAAUCAAACCCUUUUUCAAUGUUUUUUUGAUGUGAAUCACAGGAGGUUUCACUACUGGGAUUUGCAUCCAAACAGGAAACCUGCAGAUUUCUUCAAAUCCUGGCGACAAAGGUACUGGUAGUGCCCUGAGCUGAUUGUUGCAGUGGUGUUAAUGAUGCUCUUUCAGUAGCUGAGUGCUGAUACUCCAUGACUUUGGCUCAGACAACAGAGAUAGCUGCCAUGAAUUGCCUUCUGGUAGUGCCCGUUCCUCUCAGUUGAUUACAAGAGGAUCCCCAAAUGCUAGAACAGGUCUUGAGCUGCCUGGAGAACAUGCUGUGGCACCCAACAUGGCCACACAGGAGGUCUCUGCCUGCCUCUGCUGUCCCUGAUGCCGAAGGAGGACAGGCUGUGCCGGACAAUUAUGUGAUCGUGACAAAGCCAAGUGACUCCCAGGGAUCAUCCACAAUGAUGAUGAGAGCCGGUGGGGAACACCAUGGAGGAGAAUGAAACAAUUACGAGCGUCUUUUAAAGGAAACUGUGAGAGAGAGGACUCCAGACGCUGCAGUGUGACAGCUAAACCAAGGAGCAUCGGAUGCAAUGGAAUUGCUCUACAAGCAACCUUGCCAAAGGCCCUUUUGCUGCACAAAGCUGGCUCUAUCUUUGUAUAUUGAGGGAACUAAAUCAAUGUUAAAUGCUUGGCUCUUUUCACAGGACAAUGACCAGGACCUAAGCUGCGUCCUUCCUAUUUGAUUGACACUUGAAACGUUGAGUUGGAAUCAGCCAGAGGCACUGCUACAAGCUUGAAGCCUCUGCUGGGGAUAACAACUGGUGACAUCUGCAGAAAGGCCGACAAAAGGCAGUUGAAAGCCGUGUUUGUUGCUUUCCCCUCUCAGAUCUCCUCUCUUUCAUGGAGCUCCUUACUUGCUUUAAUAUUAUGAUUCAGCACCUGGCUCUUUUGAACCUUGCUUUAAACUUCAAAAGGCGAGGUGGUAUUAACAAACAUGAAACGAAAAAGUGGCAGUAGUUUGAUUUACUGUUGUCGUCUUAUCAAGGGGGUUUUUUGUCACCAGCUGCCACUUUCUGUCAUCUUUGGAACCAUUAUCAUUUCUCUAAAAUCUAAAAGACUCCACUUAAUAACAGCUUUGAAUACAGGCAGGAUCAGUAACGUAUACAGUUCUGGGAUGACAGGGCCGUCAAAUGAAAAGAAAGAUGUUGCCAAAAAAAAAAAAAAAAUCCUUAAAGAAAAAAAAGCAAUAAAACAAAUAAAAGCCAUAGUACUUCUAAGUGACCUUGAUUUCAGAAUUAAACAAAUCAAGCACAAUUCCAUUGUUCUUUCUGGAUUAAUUCUGCACUUUCUUUGCAGUGUUUCUUUUUUGUUCUCAGGACUAAGGGAAAACAAAGCCAAGGCUUUCAGAAAACUGCUCGGCACACAACAAGCACUUGGUAUCACAUGAGUGCUGUAAGCUUCUCACUGUAAAACUGCCAGCGAUAAUUACUGGUCUCGUUUCCCCACCAUCCCAGCACAGCAACUCACAUUCAGGCUGAGCUGCCUUGCUAGUCAAAAAAACGGUCAACUCCCCUCUUAUAGUGCUGCUCCAUGCUUUCCUGCAGACCUUCCCAACAUGGUUGUGUUGGUCUUUGGGUGCCAAGGCAGAACCAAGUGCCUGGUCAAGUUUGCCCAUUGCAGCUGCUCACAUUAAGCCACAGGCAGUCAAAUAAACACAAUUUUCUAAAGUGCAAACUUACUGCACUUUCACACUUGUCGCCUUGCCAUUCUUUAUGGGAAACUCACUCUGAUCCCUUUGUUUUAUAAUGGUAUGCACAAUUAACUCAUCUGAAGGUAGAAAUUUCUCCCACUGCCUUCUAAACUCAUGGAUAAAUGAUGGACAAGCCAUCACAAGCAGUGACUUUUAAUUUGCACAAAUUGGAACCUGCACUUCUGUGCAUCUUAAUAGUUACUUCCACUUGUGCAAAAAUAGUGAAACCAACUGCAAAAACCAAAGGAUCCCCUCCACUCUCCCCAUUGAUGUGUCCUCCCUCCCCUCAGUUAUGUGUAAAUCCAGGCAAUGGGAUCCAACACGUGGUCUCCCAUUGGCCUCUUCCAGACCUGUUCAACCACAGGAAUCUGGGGGAGAUUUAUGCCAGAACAUCUUCCUAAAACAGUGAUGGAAACAACAAAAUGAAAAUAUUCAUAGAAGUGAAAGUGCUGAUGUCUUGACCAGUGAAAACACAGGAUUGCAAGACUCCAAAGUUGGUUGAUUUUUUAUGGACUGGGAUGCGACAAAACUCAUGAAAUUGAGAUGGAGAUUGCUAAAAAUACCUAUUAUCCUCUGACAGAAGCACUCACUGUAUAACGAUAAUGAGGUUUUUUCACAGAGCAUGUCCAGAUUUGAAAGUUUAGUCAUUUUAACAAGUGUUAAUUACUGCAUGCUAACCAGCAGAAGUGUGUGGGGGAGAUGUUUUAUAUUUAUUUGUUCCAGACUUGGAACAUAUUAGAAAGCAGGCUCCCUUCCAGGUUACUGUGGUAUGAAUGAAUACGUUACCCAACUACAAAUGAAAAAUACUGCAAGAAGAAAUAAGGACUUUUCCCCAGCAUAUUUCUUUGAAGAGAAGACCGAGAAUAUGUUUAGUCUAUUACAUCAAGUGGAAAUCUUAGCCUGACCCUACUAAAAGUGCGUGUAGCACACAGAUACCAGAGCAGUGUGUCUGUGGGAGGUACUUUUAGGUUUAUCCAUGAAAAAAUGAGAUAUUCUGAAAGAAAGAACAUACAUGGGAAAUUAUCGGUGCAGUUGGAUCAGUCUCCCUGCAUGCUUUAGUAUGAUGCUGGAGAAGAGGAG
rnacentral:lncRNA from 1 species